AUUUAUAUAGUUUAAUUAAAACAUUAUAUUUUCAUUAUAAAAAUAAUAUUUUUAUAUUUAUAAAUU
rnacentral:tRNA from 1 species